rnacentral:rRNA from 1 species
GACGAACGCUGGCGGCGUGCCUAAUACAUGCAAGUCGAGCGCAGGAAACUGACGGAACUCUUCGGAGGGAAGGCAGUGGAAUGAGCGGCGGACGGGUGAGUAACACGUAAGGAACCUGCCUCAAGGAUUGGGAUAACUCCGAGAAAUCGGAGCUAAUACCGGAUAGUUCAACGGACCGCAUGGUCCGCUGAUGAAAGGCGCUCCGGCGUCACCUUGAGAUGGCCUUGCGGUGCAUUAGCUAGUUGGUGGGGUAACGGCCCACCAAGGCGACGAUGCAUAGCCGACCUGAGAGGGUGAUCGGCCACACUGGGACUGAGACACGGCCCAGACUCCUACGGGAGGCAGCAGUAGGGAAUCUUCCACAAUGGACGAAAGUCUGAUGGAGCAACGCCGCGUGAGUGAUGAAGGUUUUCGGAUCAUAAAACUCUGUUGUAAGGGAAGAACACGUACGAGAGGGAAUGCUCGUACCCUGACGGUACCUUACGAGAAAGCCACGGCUAACUACGUGCCAGCAGCCGCGGUAAAAC